AAAAAGUUCGUUCGGGUUUUCUGUACCCCCUCAUGAAGAAACCCAGACGAACUUUUUGGC
ensembl:miRNA